UAAAAAAAAACAAAAAUAUAAAAAGAAAAGGGGGAGGCGCUCGGCAGCCCCCCCCCCAAAUCAGAAAAUCUCUCUCUCUCUCUCUCUCUUUUAUUUUCUCUUGAUUUCCUCUCGGAUUUUCUUCGAUUCCAAGCGAUCCGGCCGUUCGAUCGUUGAUCCGACUUCGCUUUCACCGUUAAAGUGCCCCCGAUCUACAAGGAGCCUAUAAGUGGGUGUGUAGUUCCACUAUACACUUACGCGUAGCAAGCAAAGCGAGACAUGAUGACGUAGUCGAUGGCUUAGCUCGACGAAUUCCAUGACGCCAGAUUUGAAUAUUGCGCGGGCCAAGGCUCAGAUUCUCAGGAUUUUGUUCGAUCUUCUCCCCAGACUCGGACUUGAGUCAUCAUUUCCCAGGCGAGUAGACAGGAUAUGUUAUGAUUACCUUAUAUUAUGCACGUAUAUACUGUUUUAUUCAUAAAUAUUAUAACCUUGUAUAAAUUUUUAUAUGCAUAACUCGUACAUGAUUUUUAUAUGCGGAUCAUAGAAAAAUACUCUUAAAUGUUUCUAAUUUGCAUGAAAUAUUUUCAUCCUACUGGGAGAGACAUAAACUGAAAGAUACCCUAAUUGAUUUCUUGUUUUGAGAAUGUGAAUUAUUGAAUGAUAUGGUGUAUUUUAGGCACCACAUGAAAUGAUAAAUGAUUAUGACUUGUGCAUAAAUUAGGGUAUUAUUUGCAUUAUUAUUAGAUGACUAUCUAGUAGAUUCCCUGGUGACUCACAGCAGGAAAAGAUCAUGGUACUGUGAGGCUUGGCAUGCCAAGGCCAUGAGAGACACGGAUAGUAUGUUUCAGCACUGCUAUCACGUGGGCCUUUAUGAUGAUAUUGUGUGAUGAUGAUGUAUGUGCCGAUAUAUAUACUUGUGUGCAUGUGUAUAUAGGCGUUAGGCCAGUUUCUACUAGUGUGUCCUCAGAAUCAGUGCAUGCAUCUCAUACAAAAGUAUAGGGGACUUGGGUGGUUAGGGAACAACUUAUGGGGGUUGUCUUUAAGCACCUAUUUUUCCUACACUAUGUUUUCCUUUGAAAUCUCAAAUUAUUUAACUUAUGGUUUAUAAUUCCACUGUUUAUACUGUUAUUACGUUAUUAUAC